ACAGAUAUGGAGAUAUGGUUCCUGCAACACCAACGGGGAAAAUCGUUGGUGGUGUGUGUUCUCUAAGCGGAGUGUUGGUCAUUGCCCUUCCCGUACCAGUCAUCGUUUCAAAU
rfam:Stegodyphus mimosarum contig51361, whole genome shotgun sequence.